UGUACAGUGAUGAGAAUCGAACCCACAGUGUUCCGCUUAAUGGGAAGAUGCCAUGUCCACUAGGCUACCCUGGAC
rnacentral:tRNA from 1 species